rnacentral:lncRNA from 1 species
UCUAAGUUUUCAUAAAAAUAAACAAGGUAAGAGUGUUAUCACUUACCCCAAUCUCUCUACAUAAAUUUCAAGUGUCUCACAUCGAAGAGGACGACUGAUAAAUUUUAUUAGCAAUGGAUCCCUUUCUAAUUGCUGUUACAUUAGCUACCUCCUUUUUUCUAAUUUUCUUUCUUCAGAAACAAUUUUACUCAGUUAAAAAGCAGAGUAGUAGUAGAAAGGUACCUGGAGCUGGCGGAGCAUGGCCUAUUAUCGGCCAUCUCCACCUUCUCGCUGGAUCUGAAUCUGAUCACUUGCCUCACAAAACGUUGAGCCGCAUGGCAGAUAAGUACGGGCCGAUAUUCGGAAUGAAGCUUGGAGUUCAUCAGGUUGUAGUUGUGAGCGAUCCCAAAUUAGUCAAAGAAUGCUUCACAACUAACGAUUUAGCCCUAGCCAACCGGCCUAAAUCCAUGGUUUCAGAGAUUAUAGGCUACAAAGACGCUAUGUUUGGACUUUGUUCUUACGGUCCUUACUGGAGAGAAACAAGGAAAAUUGCCACAAUUGAACUUUUCUCAGCUCGGCGAAUCGAGAUGCUCAAACACAUCAGAGAAUUUGAGGUAAAAUCAUCUGUUAAAGAGAUUUAUAAUAAUUGGGGGAAGAAUAAUUUAAAUGGUUUUGUGAAGAUGGAGAUGAAGGAAUGGAUUGGAGAUUUAGUUAUGAACACUAUGGGGAAAAUAUUAUUCGGAAAAGGGCGAAGGAGUAAUGAGGACGAAGGAAUAAAUAAGGCUCACAAAGCAAUUCGAAGAUUUUUCGAAUUGUUAGGAGCUUUUGUUGUGGCUGAUUUUUUACCUUACUUAAGAUGGCUGGACAUUGGAGGCCAUGAGAAAGCGAUGAAGGAGGUUUCUAAAGAAUUGGACUCUGUUGUUGCAGAAUGGUUAACAGAGCACAAAACAAAGAGAGGAAUUAUUAAAUCUGGUGAAGAAGAAGAUUUCAUGGAUGUCAUGCUUUCCAUUUGUGAAGACAGAGAUCUGCUUGGAUUCGAUGCCGAUACCGCUAUCAAAGCUACAUGUAUGGUACGUUAAUUAUUCCAAAAUUGUUUCUAUCUUGAUCUCGUAUAUGAAUUUGAUUGCUGAAUUUGUCUUGUUUAGGCUCUGCUAUCGGCAGGUACAGACACGACGAUUGUAACUCUAACGUGGACUUUAUCUCUACUACUCAAUAACUAUCAAUCACUUCAAAAGGCUCAAGAUGAGCUAGACGCUCAUGUUGGCAAGAACAGAUGGGUCCAAGAAUCGGAUAUAAAAAGCUUAGUUUAUCUUCAAGCUAUUGUUAAAGAAGCAUUACGUUUAUAUCCAGCUGCACCACUCUCAGUACCACACGAGUCGAUGGAGGAUUGUACUAUCAGUGGGUAUGAUAUACCAAAAGGCACUCGCUUACUAGUGAACUUAUGGAAGAUUCAGCACGAUCCUAAUAUAUGGCCAAAUCCUCUCGAGUUUAAGCCAGAGAGGUUCUUGUCGACCCAUAAGGAUGUGGAUGUAAAGGGCAAUCACUUUGAGUUAAUGCCAUUUGGUAGUGGAAGAAGAAUGUGCCCUGGAAUUUCGUUAGCCCUUCAAGUUUUGCCCUUUGUAAUUGCAAAAUUGCUGCAGGGUUUUAACAUGAAGAGGCCUUCAGAUGAACCAAUUGAUAUGAGUGAGAGCUUUGGAUUGACCGUACUCAAAGCUUCUCCACUCGAAGUUCUCCUUGCUCCGCGCUUGGCUCCCGAUCUUUAUGAAUGAAAUGAUAGACAAAACUUGUGCCUCAUGCCACUGUUGUUUACUACAAGUUUGUAAUAUUGUAAUGCAGAUAAUAACAGAACUUAAAAAUUCCUUCAUUUGAAAUGCGAUUGUAAAAGUAUUUUACAAGUCCAUCAAGUUUUGGUGGUGAAUAAUAAUAAGAUUGCUCAACUGCCACAGGCCUUGGCAUUAGAACUCUUGUGCUACAACUACUCCCUUUUGUGCUUGGGCAAUUAUUGGCAAGAUAUCAAAAAGAGAGUCGUAGUUGAUUUACUCGAUAUCAAAUGUUGCUCAAAAUAUAAAUGAGAAAUUAGUUCGAGAACUUGAUCAUAAACUUUAGUGUACAUAGUAAUUUGAAUCUACAAUUUUAUGUUAAAAUAUAUGAUCAACGCAUUUAAUAAUUUAACAUACUAUUAAAGAGAUUGAACAUGUUUUUAUUUUUUUUAGUUACGUCUAACCUAGUGAGCAAAAUAUUAUGUACCUAGUUGUUGAGGCCACAGUAUUCAACUCUCGUACAUACAUGUUAGGCAUGUGUAUGUAUAUAUUCACUUAAAAUUUGUCUUCAUUAUAAUGAUUUCUUAAUUUGUACCUUGUGAGAAUCUUUUAGGGUUGGUAGUGAUGAUACCACAUGGGCAAAAAUUCAUCGUACCUCUCAAAAAGGCCAGGUUGUACUAGUGAGUUGGACAACAUGUGAUAUCUAACGAGGAAAUCAUGAAUAUGAUUUUCCACUACUACUAUAUUUUUCCAAUAGAGUUUAACGCACUUAACGUAUUCACGUGAAUUUAUGCUCCUCUUUUAAAUUAUAUAUAACAGUGUUAUAUUUUUUAAAAAGUAUUUAAGCAUAGAUGUGUGAACUCACACUUGAAGUAUCAAAUAACGUCGUGUUAUAAUGAUUGGAUGCACUUCUCUAAUCAAAGUUAAAAAAAUUUGAAUCUUUUAUUUGACAAAAUAAAGUUAAACUGGAUGAAUUUAUAUCUUAAAUUUUCUUUUUCGUAGUACACCUAUCAUCUCAAAAUUCUGAAUAUGCCUCUGCUAGUAUAAUUUCAAAAAUUAUUGCAUAUAAGUGAAUCUACUAGAUGCGUACUCAAAGUAUAGCAAUCGAGUUUUCCAUUGGUUAAACACAAGAAGAAGAAAAAAGGAAGAAGCCAAGUUGUUUCAUGGAACAUACUUCGCGAAUUAUCAACUUUCCAUAGUAUAAAAUAGUAUUAAACAUAGUAAUAUUUCUAUUAGUUCUUUUUUUUAUUUAAUAUUUCUACUAGUUACAUUAGCACCGAUUAUAAAUAAUUAUUGUAAAUCACACUAGAUACACACUAUAUAUAUAUAUGGUGUGAUUUGAACGAAUUUGGGAAAUCAGACGAUACACAAGCGAAAUAUUAAAGUGAAGAGGGAUAUGAGAGAGAGGCGAAAGAGAUAUGCGCAUGGUGAGCAAGAUAAGAGGAAGACAGACUAGAUUUAUCUAUUAUACUAAAUACACGUGAUUCACACUAAUAUGUCUAAACAUUUGUACACAAUGAUUAGAGAGUAAUUCGAGUACAACUAUUUUCUCCAUUUCUCUCCAAUAUGGGCCUUUCCCAAAACGGCUAUGUUAUAUGCCUAGAGCUCUAUUGCCAACGACUUAAGCCGGCUUGCCAAGUCCUUAAUGUUGGUUAGUAAACCAAUCUUGGGCUACCUUCGUAUCGUUCAACAAAAUUUGAUGGGCUCCAAAUUUUACUGUGAAAAUUGGCGCAUAUUUGUCUGCCAUGAGCCCAAGUGUUUUGUGAGGCAGAUUAGAUCCAGUGAAAAGAUGAAGAUGGCCGAUAACAAGGAAAAACUACUUAACUACACAUAAAUUACUAUCAUAUAUACAAUUUUAUCUCUAGUUUCAAACAAUUACUUAUGUUAUUACUUUUUAUAUUUUAUAUCAUAUAUUUUAAAAGAUACAAUCAGAUAAACAAUUUUUUUUUAAAAAAUGAAUUGAUUAAUUAUCUUUGUAUUUAAACACCUAAAUAAUGGUGAAUUGACAUAGAAAAAUUCUCUCUCAUCAAUCAUAUCUCUCUUCCAAAUAAAAUUCUUAUUAUUCAUCCGUAUUGCAUCUGUCAUCCCACCCUCAUAUACAUCCGCCAAUAUUUUUUCUUUCUCUGAAAUUACAUUUAAAUAGCAAAUCAAAAUUGUUGAAUGCCUUGAAUUGGGCCCUUAAUUUUCUAUUGAUUCUGUAUGUUGGGCCCAAGCCUGUUAGGGCGUAGCUUAGCACUAUAUAUAGACGCUAUGGGAAACCCUAUUCUGUAAUUCUGUUCUUGCCUCUCCAUAAUAAAACUGUCCCCCUCUUUCCGUGGACGUAGCCAAUUUAUUGGUGAACCACGUAAACUGUUGUCUUGUUUUUCGCGUUUAUAUUUUCUCGUAUUAUCUCAAAUUCCGCACAACAAAUUGGUAUAAGAGCCUCUCGGUUAAUCGGUGUUCUUGGAGAAUUCGAGAUGUCUGCUUUGAACGUGAAAAUCGACAAAUUCACAGGGAGGAACAGUUUCAGUUUAUGGCAGAUCAAGAUGCGGGCUUUGUUGAAACAGCAAGGCUUCUGGGCGCCGUUGUCGAAAGACAAGAACGCCGUCGUUACUCCUGAGAUGGCGAUUCUGGAGGAAAAGGCGCACUCGACGAUCAUGCUGUGUCUCGCGGAUGACGUCAUCACGGAGGUCUCGGAUGAAGAGACUGCUGCUGGUCUGUGGUUGAAGCUGGAGAGUUUGUACAUGACAAAAUCUCUAACCAACAAGCUGCUUCUGAAACAACGUCUAUUCGAUUUACGAAUGGCUGAAGGUACACAACUCAGGGAACACUUAGAGCAAUUGAAUACUUUGUUAUUAGAAUUGCGUAAUAUCGAUGUGAAGAUCGAGGAUGAAGAUGCUGCCCUGAUUCUGUUAGUAUCUCUCCCAAUGUCGUUUGAGAAUUUUAUUCAAUCGUUCAUUGUUGGGAAAGAUACUGUGUCACUGGAAGAAGUCAGAUCGGCCCUUCAUAGCAGGGAAUUACGGCAUAAGGCUAACGGCACAAGUACGGACAUACAGCCUUCCGGUCUGUUCACCAGUAGCGGAAAGGGAAGGAAAAACGGCGGAAAGAAAAAUAAGCCGAUGUCGAAGGGUGCAAAGCCGGAUGAUGUUUGUAAUUACUGCAAGGAGAAGGGACAUUGGAAAUUUGAUUGUCCGAAGAAGAAGAAGCAAUCGGAAAAACAAUCAGUGUCUGCUGCUGUUGCUGAAGAAGACACCAAUUCUGAAGAAGAUAUUGCCCUAGUUGCGGAUGAGCACACUCAUCAUUCAGAUGUGUGGGUUCUCGAUUCUGGGGCAUCCUAUCACAUCUGUCCUAGGAGAGAGUGGUUCACGACUUAUGAGCAGGUAGACGGAGGCAGCAUCUCGAUGGCCAACAGUUCUGUCUGCAAGGUGGUUGGGACAGGCUCGAUCAAGAUAAGGACACAUGACGGUAGCUUCUGCACAUUGAACGAGGUCAGGCACGUUCCAUUGAUGAUGAAAAAUCUGAUAUCUCUCAGUCUUUUGGACAGCAAGGGAUUCAGCUGGUCGGGAAAAGAUGGAGUCUUGCGGGUCUGGAAGGGUUCAAAUUUGAUUCUGAAAGGUGUCAUGCGUGGUACUUUGUAUUUUCUACAAGGUUCCACGGUUACAGGUUCAGCCCAUGUUGCAUCGUCAGAAUUUCACCAGAAGGAUAUGACUAAGUUAUGGCACAUGAGACUUGGUCAUAUGGGUGAAAGAGGGAUGCAAAUUCUGUCAAAGGAGGAUUUACUUGCUGGUCAUAAGGUUAAGAGCCUAGAGUUUUGUGAACAUUGUGUUUUUGGAAAACUACAUCGCAACAAGUUUCCAAAGGCCAUUUAUAGAACAAAAGGCACACUUGAUUAUAUUCAUUCUGAUUGCUGGGGUCCAUGCCGUGUUGAGUCUUUGGGAGGUUGCAGAUUUUUUGUGUCCAUUAUUGAUGACUACUCAAGGAUGACUUGGGUGUACAUGAUGAAGCAUAAAAGUCAAGCCUUCCAGAAGUUCAAGGAGUGGAAAAUUUUGAUGGAAAAUCAAACAGGGAAGAAGAUCAAGAGGUUGCGAACUGAUAAUGGGCUGGAAUUCUGUUGGUCUGAAUUUGAUCAAUUCUGUAAGGAUGAAGGGAUUGCUCGACAUCGUACAGUCAGAAAUACACCACAGCAGAACGGUGUAGCUGAGCGGAUGAAUCAAACACUUCUGGAGAGAGCAAGGUGCAUGUUCUCUAAUGCUGGGCUAGAUAGAAGAUUCUGGGCAGAAGCGGUUAGUACAGCUUGCUACUUGAUUAACCGCGGACCACAUACAGGCAUACAGUGCAAGACACCUAUGGAGAUGUGGUCAGGAAAAGCUGCUGAUUAUUCAAAUCUGAAAGCUUUUGGUUGUACGGCUUACUAUCACGUCAGUGAAGGUAAGUUAGAACCAAGAGCUAAAAAGGGAGUAUUUGUGGGCUACGGAGAUGGAGUGAAAGGUUUCAGAAUCUGGUCUCCAGCAGAAAAGAGGGUUAUUAUGAGCAGGAACGUUGUCUUUGAUGAAAGUUCUCUGCUUAGAACCAUUGUGAAGCCUACAACUACGUCAGAAACUGGGAGUCUUGACAAACAGGUGGAGUUUCAAGUCAUUCAGAACGAGAGAGAUUUAAAGGAACCUGAAGAGGAGGAUCAAGAGCCACAGACAAAAACUGAUAUUCCAGAAUCUAUGCCAUCAGAUAUCCAUCAGAGUAUAGCUCAAGAUCGGCCAAGGAGGGUUGGAGUUCGGCCACCUACGAGGUAUGGUUUUGAGGACAUGGUGGGUUAUGCACUGCAGGUUGCUGAAGAGGUAGAUACAUCUGAGCCGUCUACUUACAAAGAAGCCAUUUUAAGUUCUGAUUCUGAAAAAUGGUUUGCCGCUAUGGGAGAUGAGAUGGAGUCCCUACACAAGAAUCAGACAUGGGAUCUGGUCAUACAGCCUUUGGGGAGAAAGAUUAUUACUUGCAAAUGGGUUUUCAAGAAGAAGGAAGGGAUAUCACCAGCAGAAGGAGUCAAGUAUAAAGCCAGGGUUGUUGCCAGAGGUUUCAACCAAAGAGAGGGAGUGGACUACAAUGAGAUCUUCUCACCAGUGGUCAGACAUACUUCCAUCCGAGUGUUACUAGCGAUAGUUGCACAUCAGAAUCUGGAGCUUGAACAACUUGAUGUGAAGACAGCGUUUCUACAUGGAGAGUUGGAGGAAGAGAUAUACAUGACUCAGCCGGAUGGUUUCCAAGUUCCAGGGAAGGAAAAUCACGUCUGCAAGUUGAAGAAGUCCUUAUAUGGACUUAAGCAGUCUCCAAGGCAGUGGUAUAAAAGGUUUGACAGCUAUAUGGUGAAGUUGGGCUAUACUCGGAGCUCAUAUGAUUGUUGUGUCUACUACAAUAGGCUCAAUGAUGAUUCAUUCAUCUAUCUGGUGCUUUAUGUAGAUGAUAUGUUGAUAGCUGCAAAGAAGAAGUAUGACAUUCAGAAGCUGAAGGGUUUACUUAGUGCUGAGUUUGAGAUGAAGGAUCUGGGAGCCGCUCGGAAGAUUUUAGGGAUGGAGAUCAUUAGAGACAGAGAGAGAAGGAAACUUUUCUUGUCACAGAGAAGCUACAUUCAGAAGGUCUUGGCGAGGUUUGAUAUGUCUUCAUCUAAGCCCAUUGAUACCCCCAGUGCUGCCAAUAUCCAUCUCACUGCCAUGUUCGCUCCACAGUCAGAAGAAGAGAAGGAGUAUAUGUCACGAGUCCCUUAUGCCAGUGCCGUAGGAAGUUUGAUGUAUGCUAUGGUCUGUACAAGGCCAGAUUUAGCACAUGCAGUCAGUGUAGUGAGCAGAUUCAUGGGACAACCAGGGAGAGAACAUUGGCAGGCUGUGAAGAGAAUUUUCCGGUACCUUAGAGGUACAUCUGACGUUGGUCUCAUUUAUGGAGGUAAUACUCAGUGCUUGGUUACUGGCUAUUCUGAUUCAGACUAUGCUGGAGAUGUUGACACAAGAAGAUCGAUGACUGGCUAUGUGUUUACCCUUGGAGGAUCUGUCGUCAGUUGGAAGGCAACUUUGCAACCUACAGUGACUUUGUCUACUACGGAAGCGGAGUACAUGGCCUUGACAGAGGCUGCAAAAGAAGGGAUUUGGUUGAAAGGGCUGGUUAGCGAUCUUGGUCUGCAUCAUGAUCAGGCUACGGUGUAUUGUGACAGUUUGAGCGCAAUUUGUCUAGCCAAGGAUCAAGUCCAUCAUGAGAGAACCAAGCAUAUUGACGUAAGGUAUCAUUUUCUGAGAAGUGAGAAGAGAAUCAAGGUGAAGAAAGUAGGAACUGCUGAUAAUCCUGCUGAUAUGUUUACAAAGCCGGUUCCACAGAGCAAGUUUCAACACUGUUUGGACUUGCUCAACAUCAGAAGCUGUUAAUUGCCCUGCGGGGCAACUCUGAGGAAGAUGGGGAGGCCUGACACUAUCAUAGUGCGUCUGAAGAAUCUGUUCGGAGAAUUCAAGUCAAGGUGGAGAUUUGUUGAAUGCCUUGAAUUGGGCCCUUAAUUUUCUAUUGAUUCUGUAUGUUGGGCCCAAGCCUGUUAGGGCGUAGCUUAGCACUAUAUAUAGACGCUAUGGGAAACCCUAUUCUGUAAUUCUAUUCUUGCCUCUCCAUAAUAAAACUGUCCCCCUCUUCCCGUGGACGUAGCCAAUUUAUUGGUGAACCACGUAAACUGUUGUCUUGUUUUUCGCAUUUAUAUUUUCUCGUAUUAUCUCAAAUUCCGCACAACAAAAAUUGUAUAUAGAAAUUUGUAACUUUGUUUCAUUAUUCUCAUGUAUCUAGAAUAAAGUUCUCCCUUUUCACAUAUAUAUGUGUAGAGUUCAUAUCAUUUUAAAUUUUAAUUUUAAAUCUUUUUACGAAUUAAGUCCUACAUAGUAUGAUCUUGGUACUAUUUAUUAUUUCAUGGGUGAUCAUUCCCAAAAUUGAAUGAUCCCAGUAAAUGUACAAUACAUUAACAUUAAUAUAUAAUAUGUUUAUGAUAUAUGAACUUUUUAGUUUUGUUUUCUCUCAAUAUUUUUUCAUUGCAGGGUUAAAUCUCUAUCCGUUAACAUUCAAGCUAAGAAUAGAUCCUAGCACUAAAAUGACCCAAUAUAAAUGGAAGAACUAUGUGAACUCUGAAGCUCUACUUACCCAAAUAGAUACAACACUAAACCUAGUUACACAUCUAGUGCAAGAUGUUCUUUCUAACACAUCUUCUUAAGGAAACAAACCCAGAAAUUUAAAAAAGCAUGUAUCUUGAUUUUUUUUACUCGUAAGAUACACGUAUCUCAAUUUUUUAACUCUCGAAUACAUGGCAACUGGAAAAAAAAAAGACAUCCGUGGCUCAAGGAAAUUAGAGGGGGAAUACUUAAUUAGAUGACUGAUUAAUUAUGAUCAACAUUAUGUGAAUGUAUAUGAUGGAAAUAUAGCUAAAUUCCUUAAUCACUUUUUGUGAAAUAAUAUUUAUUUUGAUAAAGAGAAUAUGAAUAGUAAUUUUUCUAACUUCUACCCUUAUUUAGAAGGGACGGUUUAGAGGACUAACACUGCAUAAGAAAAUUGUACCAAAAGCAAAGUAAAUUGUACUACUUUUGCUCUGUCUGGCCCAUAUUUAUUGGCAAUAGUUGCUUUACAUCCACGUGUAAGAAAUUGGAAUCACCUCUGCUUUUGAAAUAAAUAAAUUGUCUCUCUUUGCAAACUAUAAACAUCUCUAUCACUUUCUCUUUUUAUCUUGAAAUGGGUGAGUUCUUUUUGUCCCAUGUAUUAUAUGUGAUAAUUGUAAAAUGUCUAUUUUUAUCCUUCAAUUCCUAAUUUAUUUCCAGUUCUUUUUGGUAUUUAUUGGAUAUUAUGAUUUUUAAUGCAUUGUUGUAAGAUAUUAUUCUUGCAUGUUACUAAUUCGGUUUGAUUUAAUCAGGGUUGUUCGAAAAUUGAUUUCUCCAUUUUUUUACUAGAUGGUGUGAUGUAGUACUGUAGCGCAUCUAGAGCUUUUUUGUGGGUUUUUGUUCUUUUAGAACUUGUCAAUUUUUUUUUCUAUUUGUGCAAGUUUGAGCUCCCUAUUUUGAAAGUUAAAUUUUUAUUUUGAAUUUUGAAUUUGACUUGAGAGUUGUAUUGUGAAUGGCUUAGGAAAAUAACAAAGAUAGCCUAUAUGUAGAGCAAUGAAACUCGAACGUGAAUUUGGGGAAACAACAAACGUCUAUUUCCAUCUUAAGAGUAGUUCCAUUUUUUUAAAAAAAAAUGAGAAAAAAUCAUGUGAAUGUAGAGUAACGCAUGUUUUUCUUUCCUCCUUUGAAUUGCUUCCCUUUCAUAUCAAUCUGCUAAUAUUGAUCCAUUUGACAACUAAUUUUAAUGUUUUCUUAUUUUUCUAGCAUAUGGAAAGAUGCAAGCACAAGGUGGAUAAGCUGAUAGGAAAAAACAUGUUCUCGGGAUCACUAGAACCCUUUGGGAUGCUUCAACCAAUAAUGAAAGCAUAUAGUUUUUCUCCACCGUAUUACAGUAACAAAAUUUUUUUUCAUAAGUUCCUUUUGGCUCAUUUGGUGUCGAAUGCACAAGCAGAGCAGAGAAGAACAAGGUAAACGUAAUGGUAGCACAAUGUAAUUAUAGAAAACUUCAGUAUUUAGGAUAGAAAGUCGACUGGUCCGUUAAAAGUUUUCUUAUUUUGCAUAAAUUACUUUAAGUGUUCUCAAUAGAGUUAUAGCGUGACAUGUGGAUGGAUUUUCCUAAAUUGUUAUUGCAUUCGUAUAUAAUUUUAUGCACUACUUUUGAAGUAUCCGACACGAAGAGUCCAAGCAACAUAGCAAGUAGAAAAAAGUGUCCCCGCAAAUGCAGCAAUAAGAAGAAAGGUCUUUGGUUAUCCAGGAGGUGACACUGUUGUUGUGAUAAACCCUGUUGUCGAAAUCAAAAUUCUUCGGAAGAGCCGAUUAAACACUCUUGAGCAAAAGAAAAGCAAAUACGACUGAAGAUUUUUACUUCCCUCUCUUUUACCAAUAAUGAAAGAUAUGAAUGCAUUCCCUUGCCUAGAUGAAAGGUAUAUCAAGUAAUAUCAUUAUAUAUAGUUAGAUUGAUGAUCUAUUAUCAGGUUGUUUAUGGAUGUUCAUGCAAAUCGAACAAUCUUCUUCUUGAUGUUGUGAUCCUGUGCAUUACAGUUUAGAUUACAUUUCAAUAUUGACAUUUUAAACUUGAAGUAUAGUUUAUACAGAACAACUCACAAUAACUCUAACUUAAAUAGCUUGAUUUCUGAAAAUACCAUAUUAACAAAAAUGACAAGCUUUAUUAAUAUUAAAAUGGAUGAAAGCUAAAAAAAUAAUUCAGACACACAUAUAGGUCAACUGGUGAUAUAUUAUUCCAUAUUUGCUUUUGUACUUUUUCACUAUAGUAAAUAUUUUUAUGAUGAUCGACAUGUCAACUUUUUGUCUACUUUGUAUUAAAUUGUUCAGGUUGUACAUUAGCUUGGAUAGUAGUAAAUUUAUCAUUUUUUAAUACAAUUAUCUACAACUCAUUUUAUUUGUACUUAAAUAGAUAGUAGUAACCAAUGAACUCAUAACGCUUAUCUUAAGAUUCCAUAUUCAGACCAUAAAAACUACAUAUCUAUUUUAUCACUCAUUGGUGGAAAGUCUAAAUCUAUAACUAUAUGAUAUUUCAUUCCAGGCAUUUUUGAUAAAAGCAAGCUGAGAAUAGAGUCAUAUUUGGUGAACAUUUCUUCAGCUGGACACUUAAAUCGGGGAUCGACUCUAAAACCUUUCCUGGGUACAUGUAUAGGGUGUCAAAGUUGAACUAGGAAGCAUCCGUACUAGCAUGUGACAUCUUCGACUUUACCCGUCUUUGGAGUCUAUUUGUAAGUCCAAAUUUAUGGAUGUUCAGAAAGAACUUGAUUGAUAAUAUCGUUUUUUCAGUUCAUAGCGUUGGUUUGAUAUUUGAGAUCUGUUUAUGUUGUAAAUGUGCAAAGUCUAAUCUUUUGAUUGUAAAAAAAAGGAUUAUAAUCUUAGGCUAUGAAAUUUAUACAUCACUUCCCUUGCGGUUAGUAUUUAUUUUUUAAUGCUCAAAUGUCCUCUUUAUUCAUGUUUUCUUUGUGAAUUCUAGCCUCAGGAGUAUCUAUCGGAUAAAAAUAGCAGUAACAACAAGUAAAGAGGAUUGAAGCAACAAUGUCUUUGACGAAAUUUUCCAGUGAAAGAAAGAUCACCAACAAGUUUGUUUAACUCUUUUUCUACAACUAUCUACUAUCAAGCUCAUCGCUUAGCAUGGACGUUAAUCAUCGAUAUUUCUUUUGUCAUGCUAUUCUCUACAUUAUGCUUCAUAUACAAAAGACAUAUGUCUUGAAUCGAAAAUGAACACUCAUUUAGUUGAAUUAAGAUACUGAAUGUUGUCACAAUUGUUUACUUGGUGUUUAAAUGAACUUUAUUUGAAGUAUCAUACCAUUAUUCAAUGGUAUUGAAAAAUUGAGGAUAAGUAUAACGUUUUAAUUAAAUUUUAGUUAAAAUUGUGAGUUUGAGUUGUAAUUUAUCCUAUCUGAAACUGCUUACUCUAGCAAUAUGUUGGUAUCUCAUAUUGAGAAGUACAUUGUUGCUAUUCCUGGCCCAGUUCACUAUAUUUUUAUGAAAUUCUUUGAUCUCUACAGGUUUAUUUGUUUUUUGCUAUGAAUAACUUUGGAUAUAUUGGUGCUACUCCUAGCCUGAUUCACUAUAUCUCUAAUUUUCUAUUGAAUAGUGAAAAUGUAGGUUUUGAAGUGAUUUACUAAUACAUUAUAUGUGUACAUUUUGAUUUUUUUUAGAAGAAAUCACAAUGGACAUUCUUUUGUUUGACCAACAUCUAAGAUUAUCAGUUUCAUGUGUUAUUAUAAACUGUCAAAUAUUUAAUCUAUUCAGUAGGUAACUUUCUGAUUUAGUCUGCUUAGUUCAAGUUUUAUGAAUUUGAUGAAAAAACAUUUGGAAUGAUUAGCAAUUAGUACUUUUCGAUCCUUGCUCACUUUAACCAUUAUAUAUCGUUAGUGAGGUAAGUAAUCGAAAAAACAAUCGAAUUCUAGAAACAGAACAGAUUAGAUCAUGGAAAAGGAUUGAUUAUAAAUUCUCUUAUUAUCAUUUCUUCAGGUAUAAUUUUACAUGGCUAAAGAUGAAAAUUGACCUUGAUAGGCUUUAAUAGAAACUUGUGUUGACUACUUCUGGCCUGUGGAAAGCAGAUAUGUACAAGAGUUGAAAAGUUAAUGUUUUUUUAAAUGAUAUGUUGUAAAUGCGGAAUGUUUCCAAUUACUUUUUUGUUGAUCAGGCGACAUCCGAAUUUGAACUGGGAAAAAAAGGAUUUGCAAUCCUCUUAGAGUCUUUUACCAUGUCUGCUCUUUACUUGAUCAUCUCUUUCAUUGAUACAUCGAGAUUACUUGAAUAAAUUAUUUCUGUAGUUUAUACUGCUAAAUUUAAAAUUUAUGGAGAUCGAACUUGCAAUGUUGGGCCUGUGCUCAGCACGGGCCAUGCCUCUCUAGUUAAAAAAAUAAAGGAUAGAAUUUAAAAUAAAGAGAUAUUAAAGUAUUCAUUUUCUAUUUUGUUUCUAAACGUAGAAAAUGAAAAAUAAAAUAAAGUUGAGUCGGGGAUGACCUUACCCUCUCUACGUCCACAUGCAACGCUAUCACCAUUUGCAAUGCAACUUGUCGUUUGUCUAAUGGAUAUUAUUAUUAUUUCCUUAUUAAGAGUUGUGCACAACUCUCCCAAAAAUAGGAGAGGAUUCGUAUAUCUUUUACACUUUGAAGUUAUGUCAAAAUGUCGAUGCUUUCGUAGAAUUUAAUACAAAAUUCAUGUGUUUGAGUCUUGAUGAAAAUUAAAAAUAAGAAUAUUUUAUAUCAUUCGUUUUAAUUUUAAGGGAAAAUGUCCAAGUACCUCCUCAACCUAUACCCGAAAUUCCAGAGACAUACUUAUACUAUACUAAGGUCCUAUUACCCCUGAACUUAUUUUAUAUGUAAUAUUAUACCCUUUUUAGCCUACGUGGCACUAGUUCAAAAAAAAAGUCAACCAUCGUUGGGCCCACAAGAUAGUGCCACGUAAGCUAAAAAGGGUAAAAAAUUAUUAAUAAAAUAAGUUCAAGAGUAAUAAGACCUUAGUAUAGUAUAAGUGUGUCUCUGAUAUUUCGGGCAUAGGUUAAGAGGUACUUGGGCAUUAUCCCAAUUUUAAUGAAAAUAAAAACAAAUAAGAUAAAGAGUAUUUUAUAUGGAUGAGAAGAGCUCUCUAUAAGUUCCGAGUGUUUUCACUUAACCACGGUAGAGAAGAUGACUGACUGACAUAUUUUAUUACCCAUGGAUUUAUUUCUAAUUGUUGUUACAUUAGCUACCUCCUUUAUUCUACUUUUCAUUCUUCAUAAACAAUUUUACUCAGUUAAAAAGCAGAGUAGUAGUAGUAGAAAGGUACCUGAAGCUGGCGGAGCAUGGCCUAUUAUCGGCCAUCUCCACCUUCUCGGUGGAUCUGAAUCUGAUCACUUGCCUCACAAAAUGUUGGGCCGCUUGGCAGAUAAGUACGGGCCUAUUUUCGGAAUGAAGCUUGGAGUUCA